UACGUAGGGGGCAAGCGUUGUCCGGAUUCAUUGGGCGUAAAGAGCGUGGAGGCGGCCAGGUAGGUCGGUUGUGAAAACUGGAGGCUCAACCUUCAGACGUCGACCGAAACCAUCUGGCUAGAGUCCGGGAGAGGAGAGUGGAAUUCCUGGUGUAGCGGUGAAAUGCGCAGAUAUCAGGAAGAACACCCGUGGCGAAAGCGGCUCUCUGGAACGGUACUGACGCUGAGACGCGAAAGCGUGGGGAGCGAACAGG
rnacentral:rRNA from 1 species